rnacentral:miRNA from 1 species
UCACCGGGAGGUUAAUAUGCUUU